AAUUUUAUGUCGGUACUAAUUUUCAUUUGCUUAACAUGAUAGGUUUUGGUUAAAUAUCCUUGGCCUUAACGUUUCUUAGAUACGAUAUUGAAACCCUAACUCCAACUUCUGCUGAUUGCAACGCAAAAUCACCAUCCGCUCUUCGUCGAAGCCGGAACAUCACGCCGUCGUCGGCCAACGUUACUGCUUGCAUCGUCUUCGUUGUUGUCGUUGUUGCUGAGGAUACAUCGUAAUCGAUGUCGAUGUCUCUUCCCCUAGAGGUAUUCAUUGUUCCGGAUUAUCUGUUGAUCAGAGGCUCCCUGUUUUUGUGGUGCAUACCAUGCAACAAAGCCAUGUUAUUUGAUGACAUGGAAUCUGUUUGAUUAUAGCAGUGUUGCAGUUAGCACAAAUACCCAAUAUUAAGGUGAUAGAUUGUUAAAUCCCAUAGGCGUUUGAUCCUAUGAAUGGAUAUAGUAUGCUAGGAUUUGGCGAUAUAAAUUCUUUCCAGACCUGUUUCUCUCAUUUAGUGUUAGGGGGGGAGACAAGGACAAGUGGACAACAAUGUAUUUUCUAAAAUGAAAUUCGUGCUUUUAAGUGAGAAGAAUGUUACCUGUGAAACCAUACCCACUCUUACACAAACAAUUCAUAUUUUUCAUGUUUAACCCUAUUAUUGAUGCAAAGUGGGCUUGAUUUUAUUCCAUCAAUUGUCUAUGGAAAGAAAAUUUGGAGUCAAGAUUUUGCAUGGGUGCAUUGUGUGAUGUUGACUAUAGAGUUUACCUUGAGCUUCUUGCUGAUUUGUCAUGGUAAACAACAAAUGAAGAAGUUGAAUUACACUUCAAAGCUGUAAAAGAUAGGCUUGAUAGUCACCAUCAUGGCUUAAAAAGUCAAAUAAAAGAUUAUUGAAUAUGUAACAGUUUGCAAGGUUGGAUAAACUUGUAUUUUUUUUUCUUAUAGGUAGUGUUUGUUUGUUAUCAUGGAAUCGUGAAAUGAAUGUAAUGGUUUAUUCCAUCGGAAUGAACAGAAAAAUAAUGUUUUUUUCAUUGGAUGGAAUGAAAAUUUUAUUAUUUUCUA